rnacentral:rRNA from 1 species
CCUACGGGAGGCAGCAGUGAGGAAUAUUGGUCAAUGGGCUUACGCCUGAACCAGCCAAGUCGCGUGAGGGAAGACUGCCCUAUGGGUUGUAAACCUCUUUUGUCAGGGAGCAACGCCGGCUACGUGUAGCCGGACUGAGAGUACCCGAAGAAAAAGCAUCGGCUAACUCCGUGCCAGCAGCCGCGGUAAUACGGGGGAUGCGAGCGUUAUCCGGAUUUAUUGGGUUUAAAGGGUGCGUAGGCGGAAUGCCAAGUCAGCGGUAAAAGCGCGGGGCUCAACCUCGCUCCGCCGUUGAAACUGGCGUUCUUGAGUGGGCGAGAAGUAUGCGGAAUGCGUGGUGUAGCGGUGAAAUGCAUAGAUAUCACGCAGAACUCCGAUUGCGAAGGCAGCAUACCGGCGCCCAACUGACGCUGAAGCACGAAAGCGUGGGUAUCGAACAGGAUUAGAUACCCGGGUAGUC